UACGUAGGGUGCGAGCGUUAAUCGGAAUUACUGGGCGUAAAGCGUGCGCAGGCGGUGUUGUAAGACAGAUGUGAAACCCCCGGGCUUAACCUGGGAAUGGCAUUUGGGACUGCAAGGCUCGAGUGCGGCAGAGGAGACUGGAAUUCCUGGUGUAGCAGUGAAAUGCGCAGAUAUCAGGAGGAACACCGGUGGCGAAGGCGGGUCUCUGGGCCGUAACUGACGCUGAGGAGCGAAAGCAUGGGGAGCGAACAGG
rnacentral:rRNA from 1 species